GCAAGAUUAUUUUUAUUAUAGAAUACAUGGUGUAUGCAUACCAUGCUCAUAAACAAAUGGCCAAGGCCAAACAACCCAAGUUAUUGAAUCUAAAAAAGAAAACACACGCCUAAUCGCAUCAAAAUCCAUAUGGGCUAAUAAUUCACGACCCUACAAUUCUUCCUUAUCUCCCCUUGCGACCCUGUAAGCACCUUAAUCGAACCCAUAUGCACCAUUGCUGAAGCAAACUUGGAAGCCCAUGCACUUGGAUGCUUGAUAUUGCUCCCCACCAUCUUCUUUGUCAAACUACUUUCCCACAACACUUGAUCUGAAAACAGCAGCCCUUUUUUACUCUUCAAGUUCUUGUAGUAGUUAUUGUCAAGCCUGGUUGGUGUUAGGGGAUCAAAAGGCACGAUUGGAUCAACCCCAGAGUUCGUUUUCACAGGCCUAGGGCAUUUGGCUCUCAAGUAACUGGCAUAGGUAGAAACCAUGGAAGGAUCUUGUGGGUACGUUGCAUUGAAGGAAUAUAAACGUUUAGAGAAUGAAGAACAAUGACAGUCACCGAUAGAGUGAACACCAGAGAGCGUCACCAAUUCCUCUAGUGACAAACCCUUCUUUGCAAAGUUUUCUUUCAACUGGGUGACAUUAAAGAAUGCAUCGGGGAGGUUUUUAGUGGCAUCACCGAUCAAAGAAAUGGUUCCGUCGCGGCGGCCUCCGAGAACAUCAUAGUAAAUGCCACCGGUAAGGUGAACACUAUCACGAGCUGCAAAGGCAAUAAUAUCUGCACAUGAAACUGUGUUGGGGCAGUAAGCCUCUAUCUUAGCCUUUGCUGCAUCUAUCACCUCAAAGCCUCCUAUUCCCUUAUUUCUCAUGCUUUCUUUCUCUGCUUUGUGCUUCGGAGUGGAAUCAAGAAGAAUGGAAGCAUCACAACCCCUCACAAAACAGUCAUGGAAAUGAAGCCUAGUGAGGGCAGCAGGAAUGCCAGUAUCAUUAGCCAUUGCAUUUGUUAUUGUGCUUCUCACUAUGGUCUCAGCCAAUGGGCAAGUUUUUUUAUAGAACUUUUUCUUCAAAGGAGCUGAGAGAGCUGGAGAGAUGAAGAAAAUGAGUAAAAAGAAUCCUACUAAAAAGGUGAAAAACCUUGCCAUGAGAACCAAGACUAAGACUUGUAGCCAAUAGAGAUUGAGA
rnacentral:misc_RNA from 1 species